rnacentral:rRNA from 1 species
GAUGAACGCUGGCGGCGUGCCUAAUACAUGCCAGUCGAGCGAACAGACGAGGAGCUUGCUCCUCUGACGUUAGCGGCGGACGGGUGAGUAACACGUGGAUAACCUACCUAUAAGACUGGGAUAACUUCGGGAAACCGGAGCUAAUACCGGAUAAUAUAUUGAACCGCAUGGUUCAAUAGUGAAAGACGGUUUUGCUGUCACUUAUAGAUGGAUCCGCGCCGCAUUAGCUAGUUGGUAAGGUAACGGCUUACCAAGGCGACGAUGCGUAGCCGACCUGAGAGGGUGAUCGGCCACACUGGAACUGAGACACGGUCCAGACUCCUACGGGAGGCAGCAGUAGGGAAUCCUCCGCAAUGGGCGAAAGCCUGACGGAGCAACGCCGCGUGAGUGAUGAAGGUCUUCGGAUCGUAAAACUCUGUAAUUAGGGAAGAACAAAUGUGUAAGUAACUAUGCACGUCUUGACGGUACCUAAUCAGAAAGCCACGGCUAACUACGUG